rnacentral:lncRNA from 1 species
UUUUGAUGUUAAGGAAGAAUUACAGGUGGAACCAAGAAUGGUAAAUAGAUCAAAGAAGGAGUAAUAGUGAAGAAGUCAAUCUAGAAUGAUGGAACGUUAAAGUUGUGGCAGAUAAGAUUGAAAAAGUCAGCCAGAUGUAAGCUUAAAUUCAAGCAAAUAGUUUUAGAUUAAUUUGGUAAACGUUAGGCACAAUUGACAGUAAGUAUAUCAAUGAUGCAAUCAGAAUGAGGGGUGUGUAGGAAGACUUAUGCAUGUUUUAAGUACCGAAGUAAAUUUUAAAAGAUCGAAACAGUAUAUACGUCUAAAUUAAUUUGUGGAAAAGUGGGUUAUUAUGGUAAAAAAAAUACAAUCAUUAUUAAAACAAAGAAAAAGGGCAACAAAUUUAAAAAUUAACUUCAAAGAAAUGAUAAAAAAUAGUAUACAAUAAAAUUGUGGACUUAAUUAAAAAUAAAUGUGAAAAGGAUAUUAGAGGAUCCUUUAGAAAAAGGACAAAAUUUGGAAAUUAAAGAGCUUAGAUGCCAGUCCAGAAUUUAGAAAAUUAGCAGAGUACACCUGGAGAAUGUUGAGCAGAGAAAAUCAUAGAGAUAAACACUUAUUAAGAUAAUAAACAAUAGAAAAGAUUAAUUAUGAUUAAACAAUAGAACAGAAUUCACAUUUUGAAAUAUAUAAUUAAAAUGAGAUACUUCUGGCAUGAGUGAACAGUAAAAAUGUUAAAGAAACCAAGUAAAAAUGUUAAAUGAACCAAGUCAGAAAAGACCAAGGAGACAUUGCUUGAGGUUUUUCAGAUAUUAAACCCAUCAGCCAAUAAAAGCGUAUUAUGAAAUACUGUAUGUCAAAAAUCAGAAAAUGUUAUUUUAAAUGGACAAACUAAAAAUACAAUUACUAAAACUGACACAAGUAUAAAUUAAAAAUUGAAUAAUUAUAAAACUAUUAAACAAAUUUAUUAAAUGCUUCUCAAAUAUUAAGUUCCACAAAAUAUUCAAAAAUCUUUUUUGAAUUCCUAUUGUUUCUUGCUAGAUAUAGUUAUACUAUUGAUUUUUGCAUAUUGACCUUGUAUCCUGUGACCUUGCUAAACUCACUUACUAAUUCUAGGAGCUCUCUUGUAGAUUCUUUUGAAUUUUCAAAGUAGACAAUUAGGUUUUCAAUUAAUAGAAACAGAUUUAUCUCUUGUGUUCUAAAUAGUUUCAAUGACUUGCUGAAAAAACAUAAUUCUUAUUGGCAGUUUGAACGUGUUAUGUUCAGUAUUAGAUUAAAAGAAACUAAAGGUAUCUAGUAGGGAUUCCCAAAAUAGUUUUCAGUUGCCACAACGAUCAGAUGCUGAGUAUAAAGGCCUUUAAGACCCAAGUAAAUUCUCAUCCCAUGGCCAGUUAGGACUGUCCAUGAAACUCUAGGUAACAAAACUUUCUAGUAAAUUAUUUCCUAGGCUGAUCCGCAGCUAGCCUUUGCUUGUGGGUCUUGUUAUCUUGAUAGUUUCUGUUAGUUUUGAUUUUUGAUUUUCUACAGACCUUUGUCCUCACACUUCCAACAAUAUUAGUUAUUUCCCUGUGGACAGGACUGUGAUACCAAAGCAGGUAAGGUGACCAAAGAUCUGGUUUGUCCCAGACAUUCCCUCACCCUUGUAGUUCCACUCCUUGAAAAACCCUCAGUGCCAUAAUAAAUGGGGUUGUGGUCAUUCUUGAAGUAAGAUAACAUGUAUUUUUAAGAAAAUAUGGUUCCUGCUAUGGAAAAACACAGUAAAUAUAAGUAUUAAUGCUAAUAUUCUAAAGUGUAAAGAAUAUGAAAUACUGCUCAUCAAUCUUACCUAUUCUAUCACUUUUCUAGUUAAUUUUUUUGAGAUCUCCUUUUGUAAUCUGGUACAUUGCGAUGUUUAAUUAUAUACACACUCAAAUAUUCAGAGCAUCUCUCACCUUGUAACCUAGGAAAUUUAAAUUCUUCUUAACAAAAUCUCUGUGUAUGUACACUGUCCUGAAAAUACCUAUACAAGUUAUCAGAUAUGGAAGUUAAAGAGCUUAGAUGCCAGAAGAAUAGCUGGCAUUCAGACAAAUGUAUCUGCCAUUUAUCACAUAUGAUUGAGAAAUGAGCUUCAUUAGAUGUUACUGACUUUGCCUUCUGAAAUGUUCCAUCUUGUUCACCUCCUCUUACCUCCUGCGAGAAACAACUAUACUGCAUGUUCAUUCUUUAAGCUACUGGAUAACUCAGCAAGAAGUGAAAAUGCAUGGGCUUAUCUAAUUCUAAUUUUGAUUCAGGCAUUGUAGAGGCUAAUUCAUAUAGAUUACUUCUCACUACAAGAUAGAGAAGCUCCCUUUGCUUAUAUGACGUUAUUAAACACAAUGAGAAAAAAAAAUAAGGGAAAGAUACGAUAAGUGAUUCUGUGGGAAUUGUGAUAAUAUAGAAAAAAGGUUGUGAUAUAUUACUGAGUGGAAAAAAUAAGCAGAUUAUAAAUCUGUGUGGGGAUUUCAUCCUGUUUAUUGUUUGUUUGUUUGUUUGUUAGUACAUACAUGUGUUACCAAGUCUGUGAGAAAAGUCACCUAAAUAUUAACAUAUAAUUUAUUGACAGAUGGUGUUAUAUAACUUGAGAAUUUUACUGUAUUCAUUUUGCUUUUCUAUUUUUAAAAGUCUAUUAUACAUUCAUACACAGUUUUAUAUAGAAAUAAUGAAGAUUAUUAAUUUAAAAAUUAUAAAAAUUAGUAGUUUCUAAAUAUUUGCAUGGCUAAUGUCAAAGUAAUAUGAGGCCAUUCAGAUUGCACCAGAAAACAGAUCAAGUAACUUUAAUCCAAAUUCUGGCUUUAGUUCUUAAUGACUAUGUAAAAAAUGUGAGCCUUAGAUUUCUAUAAGGCUUAGAUCUCUCAUUUGCAGAACAGAAAUUAAAUGUUUCAUGUGGUUUCUGGGAAUAUGAAAUGAGAUUACAUACGUGGAAAUAUUUUGAGAGCUCAACUGCUAUUUAACUACCUAACAUUGUUUUGAAAGAAUUGCUAUUUGUGAUUUUUAAGCUAGAUUCAAUUUUCUUAGAUUAAAAUUUAAGCUUUACUGCUGGCUGGGAUGUAUAUUUGAAAGAAAAAAUGUAAAGGCUAUAUUAAAAGACAGAGAACUUUGCAUACAAUGUCUCAAUAAGGUAUAAAUGUAUUUAUUAAAAAAAAUCCUAAGUAUAUUCUAAAAAUGUAUUUUUCUUAGCAUUAAUUUUUUUUCUUUUUUGAAAAAUAUGAUUGAAUAUCUCACAAGCUAUAUGGUUUAAAAACAAAAAUGAGCCAGAUUAAUUGACAUUUUUAUUCAAUGUUAGAUUAGCAAGAAAAAAAUUGCAAGAAUUUGAAAUAUAUUCCCAAAUUUCUCUGAAAUUGUAAAAAGUAACUACCACGUCUUCAACAGUGAUGUGACUUGAUGGACCAUGGGCUAGAAAAACGGAUGGCUGUGCCAUUUGUCCUAAUGCAUAUGUGUUCAGUUCCAAGUAAACAUGGAUAUAUUAUGCAAUGAGGCAUUGGUUUUAUAAAUAUUUAGGAGAAAUAUUUUGAGAAUCUUGUCCUCAGACUAUUGAAUGGAAAAAUGUAUUAAAUUCAUACCCAUACUAUCUCUCUCAACUUUAGGUCUAUUUCAGCUUUUAAUAUUCUAAAUCUAUAGCAAAAAAUGUCAUGUUUUCUGAUUGUAUGCAUUUUCUUUUCCUAAUUAUUAACUGGUCAACAACAUGGAUUUGCAUGCACAGGAACUAGAGUACUAAGUGGGAGAAUAAAAAGGAACAGAUUAUGAGGUUACUGCCAUUAACAAGUCACCCAUCUAUAAAAUAUUCAGAUUUCCCUGUCCAGUUAAGGAGAAAACAUCCUGAAAUCUUCCUUUUUCCUGAUAGUCUAUUGAUAUUGAUUCAGUAGUUAAUAAAAUCUCGGAGCUCAUCCUCUAUUCCAUUUUUCACUUUUCUACAGAAUAUAUAUAUAUAUAUAUAUAGCCCCUGGUUGUGUUAGGUAUAAUUUAGGUUCUCCACUUACUGGUCUGGGACUAAAUAUGAAUACCUUAUGUAGAGGGGAGCUGUGCCAAAAGGAGGCAUUUGAAGCUGAAAUUCCUAAAGAUGCUGUUUGUGUGGUCUGUAAGCCAUUUUCCCUGGAGACAAUUUUCAGUAGUAUUUUAUCGGAUUCCCACCAACUGAUAAAAAUUGAGAGCUGGGUUGCCGUGUUUCUUGGUGUUUAUACGAACUCAAUUCAAUAACCUAAAUAGAUAUUCUUCCACCAUGUAAAGAGUUCUUUUUGAUUAAAAUCACAUUCCUAACAUGAUACAAAGAUGACAAGUGUCAUAGUAUUUUAGGGAAAAGUGGAGAAGUGUUUUCCCCCAAUCCAUCUCUGAAUAUUUUGCAGAAAUCUUUAUGAUGCAAAGUAGUUUUUCACACUGUCCUAAAAUCUUUCAGCUGCACAAAUUUUUACCCUUUGGUAAUGUGCCAUUUGAUUCUCUGUCAUGCUUAAAAUAGAAUUGCAAUGAAAAGGAACAAACGUGGAUGGUUACAGUUAAUAAUCUAUUACUUGGGUAUUUGAGCAUAAAGACACUUCAUGACUCAAGGGAAUAAGGAAAAGUACAAAUGAAAACUUUCAAUCACAACCUAAUUAUACUCGUCCAGAAAUACUGCAUUGUCUAUGAAAGGUUUCUUAAAUGCCACAUUAUUGCUGUUUGAAAAUUAAGGCCUUUUUUUUUCUUUACAGAUGUAUGUGAUUUUUCAUUUCCUUGCAAUGUUAUGCAUUUUUCUCUCUUUGCGUUGGAAUACAUGACUCCCGAUAGCAUUAAUAGAUCCCUUUUGUGAGAAUCAUUAGAAAUCCAUAAAGUCAAAGUGAAGAUCAUUCACAGCUGUAUUCCCUUUGCCUAGAACAGCACCUGGCACUUAGUUGAGUAAAUGAACUCAUCACAGUCCAUUUGCCUCUUGUACUCCAGGGAUACAGUAGAUGGUUUAAAUUCAGUAUAUGUAUUUUCCAUAUGGCUGACUGCAGCUUAAAGACAUCCUAUAUGCCUAGCUUUUCAUCAAAGAUGCUCACACCUUUUAUUGUAAUUUUUUAAUUUAAUUUUUUUUUCUCUUAGGUUGUGCCUACUCAAUUAUAUUCAUUGGCCAUUCCACUGGUAAUAGUGGUUUUAUGAAUAAAUCACAUGAUUCAUAAAACUUUGCAUGAUUUUAAUAUAUUCUUUUGAAGCAGUGCUGUUCAGUUCUCAAGCUUGAUCUACUAUACCUAUCUAAAAAUCCUCUUUGGGUACUUUGUUCAAAAUCUCCUUUCUAAGCAAUUUUAGUAAAAUUUUACCACUCAGUGGAAUACAAGUAGGUGAGUCAGACAAUUUUCUUACUGUUAAGCAUUCAAGAUGAGGGCUUAUUCAUAGCAUUAGUAUUUCAUUUGCAAAAGAAGGCCCAGAUUAAAAAGUGAAUAUUUUAAAAAUAGAAAUGAAAUUUAAUAUACAGAAUAAGAACAGGUAAUAUAAAUAUAUUCUGUUCUUUAGCCAUUUUAAAUCUUUGUGUUUAUUCCAUGGUAUUUUAAAUAACAGAAAUUGUGUAAAUUUGGCAAACACAAUGGCCUAUAUAUUUUAUAAAGUAGAAAACAUGUGUCUCUAAAAGAGCUGUUUGAAACAUGGCUAGAAAAUGCAAGAGUCCUUUUUCAAUACUGCCUAUUUGAUGUGUGCUACAUGAAGGUAACCAGGUUUCAAGCCCCAGGUUUAGGAAGAAAUUAACUUCAUUGACCCUCUGAACUACAACUCCUAAAGAUGCAUCUUCUUUGACGUUUGGUUAACAGUCUAUAUGAUCUUCAUCUUUUAUUUCUGAUACGAACAAGUUGUAUCAUGAAAUGAAAACUGCUGUGUACUUUAAGGGAUACAAAGGUGGUAUGAUUAGCUUUCCUUAGGCGAUACCCUAUAACAAGAGUUAUCAAUGUAGAGAGAGAAUAUUUAUGUACUACUGAAUAAAGAGAAUGCCAACAACAAACCAGAAAGUCUAGAGAAGGAAGAGGAUGAAUCUCCUGGUAAACAUCUUGGAGUCAUCUGAAUCUAGUGAUGAAGAAUGGAUUGGGAAGUUAUUAAUGGACAUUGUAGUGGGCAUACCAGAAGAAUCUCAUGUUUAGGAGAAGAAACUGGUACAAAUAAAAUCACAGAGCUAUAAAAGAAUCAUGGACCAUAUUCAGAAAAUUAACAUGCAUCCAUUAAGUUACUAAAGGAAACAAAGCAUAAGAGAAGUUGAAAGAGGAAAUAACUAAAUGACAUCCACAAAUAUGUGCCUUCUGUAAAUCAGGAAAUUAAAAUAACUGUUUGGGCAUUGCAUACAGAUAUCUUUGUAUGAAAAUAUAUCCUCGUGUUAGUGCAGGAAAUAUGCAGAGAACAAGGACUGCAUCUGAAAUAGGUCAGCUGGUUACACAGCACCUGGAUAAACCUUGGUUCAUAAGCUUAUUUUGGAAAGUUUUUAUUCUGUCCAAAGCAAAAGAGAAAGGAUGCAACAAAGGAGACUGAAAGAUCUGAAAAUAGCCUGGUACUUUGCCAGAGAGUGAAGCAAUGCAUGUAAAUGUGGAAAAAGUGAGAAAAAAGUGAAAGACUGAAUAUUCUAGAGUAAUUGCAUCAGUUCUGCACAAACUUAACAGUCUACAGCAACCAAAACCAUGGAAAAAAAGAUUUAUCAAGAAAAGUCAUUUGCAAAUGACAGUUUAAAAAAGUGGCUUGUAUGCCCCUUGCAUAAAUAAAGUUUGUUAAUUCCAAAGUCUGGUCCCUUUCACAAAUUAUUUAAAUGAACCUUAAAAAAAAAAUCCUAGUUAAAGAGAUAGGGAAAAAUUUCUUACCAUCCAGAGAAAGAGUGUAUUUGUAUUCUUUCUUGCCUUUUUGUAAGUGUAUAAAGUUGCUAUUGACAUAAAUUCAGGUAUAGCUCUCAACUAGUUAAAUGGAGGGAUAUACAACUUCCUUGAAGUACUGCAGAUGUGAAUGACACUAAAUUAAAGUCCAACCUAAAUUCACGUACCAGUACUGUUUACAUAAUAAUAAUGACCUACUCUCGGUCUCCAAGCUAAUUACUUUCCAAGUCAGUAAAGGAAAUUACCUAAGAGUUACAGAAAUCCAUCCCUACCCCACCAUCCUUAAAUUAAUGUAAGAGUGCUCUCAGCCUAAAAUAAAGUUCCAAAAGAGGAGUUCCUGUUGUGGCUCAGUGGUUAGCCAACCUGACCAGCAUCCAUGAGGAUGCAUGUUUGAUCCCUGGCCUCACUCAAUGGGUUAAGGAUCUGGCAUUACCAUGAGCUAUGGUGUAGGUCGCAGACACAGCUGGGAUCCCACAUUGCUAUGGCUGCAGAGUAGGCUGGAGCUACAGCUCCAAAUGGACCCCUAGCCUGGGAAUCUCCACAUGCCGUGGGUAUGGCCC